rnacentral:lncRNA from 1 species
CUUACUCAUCUGUUAAUAGGACUUAGAUUCAACUCCAGCAUCAGCAGACUCCCUAGGACACCUUGCGAGCCCUUUCAGUGCCAGCUUCUCUCCUCUACCCUACUCAUGCAGAAGGAAGGAGGUGCUGCUCCCUGAACAUUUCUAUCUUUCAACCCACAACUCACUCUUUCUGCACAUCAGCCAGAGGAAAUAAAAGGAAC